rnacentral:rRNA from 1 species
UACGUAGGUGGCAAGCGUUAUCCGGAUUUAUUGGGCGUAAAGGGAACGCAGGCGGUCUUUUAAGUCUGAUGUGAAAGCCUUCGGCUUAACCGGAGUAGUGCGUUGGAAACUGGGAGACUUGAGUGCAGAAGAGGAGAGUGGAACUCCAUGUGUAGCGGUGAAAUGCGUAGAGAUAUGGAGGAACACCAGUGGCGAAGGCGGCUUCCUGGUCUGCAACUGACACUGAGGCGCGAAAGCGUGGGGAGCAAACAGG